rnacentral:rRNA from 1 species
GACGAACCGUGCGAACGUUGUUCGGAAUCACUGGGCAUAAAGGGCGCGUAGGCGGCUCGCGAGGUCGGGGGUGAAAUCCCACGGCUUAACCGUGGAAGUGCCUCCGAUACCGGCGAGCUCGAGGGAGGUAGGGGUGCGCGGAACUUCUGGUGGAGCGGUGAAAUGCGUUGAUAUCAGAAGGAACGCCGGCGGCGAAAGCGGCGCACUGGAUCUCUACUGACGCUGAGGCGCGAAAGCCAGGGGAGCAAACGGG